GAUGAACGCUAGCGGCAGGCUUAAUACAUGCAAGUCGAGGGGCAGCAUGGUUGUAGCAAUACAACUGAUGGCGACCGGCAAACGGGUGCGGAACACGUACACAACUUACCCUGAACUGGGGGAUAGCCCUCCGAAAGGAGGAUUAAUACCCCAUAGGAUCGUAGAGUGGCAUCACUUAGCGAUUAAAGCUCCGGAGGUUUGGGCUGGGUGUGCGGCUGAUUAGGUAGUUGGUUGAGGUAACGGCUCACCAAGCCCUCGAUCAGUAACUGGUGUGAGAGCACGACCAGUCACACGGGCACUGAGACACGGGCCCGACUCCUACGGGAGGCAGCAGUAAGGAAUAUUGGUCAAUGGACGCAAGUCUGAACCAGCCAUGCCGCGUGAAGGAUGAAGGUCCUCUGGAUUGUAAACUUCUUUUAUGGGGGACGAAAUCUACAUUUCCAUGUAGUCUGACGGUACCCCAGGAAUAAGCACCGGCUAACUCCGUGCCAGCCGCCGCGGUAAAAC
rnacentral:rRNA from 1 species